UGGGCCGAACCUAAAUGGGCGGGCUUGCCCACUUUACGACCCUUGUCUCUUUGUGAGGAUUAAAAUAAAUAUAUAAAUACAUGUUACUUAAAUGUUUAUGUAAUGCUGUUAUCCGUGUGGCCAGAAAGUAUAGCCAUGAAUGUGUCAAUAUGAAAUUCGUUGCCUAUUCUUUUUGGCAACACGUAAAGUAGUUGCCUGAAACAAAAAAACCCGUGGUCUAAUGUAAAGGCGUCAGUUACAGACCGUGGCCUAAAAUCAGUCAAAAACAUGUGGUUUUUUGUUGUCAUAAAGCCACGAUUUUUUGGUUUUCGUGGCAUAAAGUAAAAAAACCGUGGCAUUCGAGAAAAGACCACGACCGCAUACACCACAUCUAAUAAACUGUGGAAUAACAUUAAAAAAUCGUGGCCUAAGCUUUAGGUCACUGUAUUUUGCCUUUGGACCACUCAUUUUGACAUGUUGUCUAUAAUAAAAAAUAUUGCAGUGGGUUUUAGAUUUUCUAUAAGUUAAUUGAGACACAUUCAUUUAACAUUUUGAUUAUUUAUUUAUAUAUUAAAAAUUUGAGGAACUAAUUUUAUAUUACUAUAUUAUUUGUUUUUAGUAUUUGACAAGCAAUUGGUUAUUAGUUAAAUUAUUUAACUAAGUCUUACGUUUCAGAAAUCUUUUAUUUUUUAUUUUUUAAAAGGGAUGAACAUAAAAUCAAAUUUUGACUAAUUAAGUCAAAAUUGUAUCUUCCAUGUCAUGCUACAACAUGAUCUCAUGUGGUCAUUAGUGGAGAAACUUAAUACUCAAGACCAUACAUUCAUCAACCUUUACAAUAAGCAAUAUUUGAGUGUAUAAUAAGUUUUUUUUUUCUUUUCUGAUUUACCUUUUCCUAUCUUGAAUGGUUAUAAAAUAAUGAAAAUUUAGUUAAAAAAAUAAUGAAUUUAUAUGACUGAUACAUUUUUUUUGGGGGGUACAGACUGAUACAUUUUUUAUAUGACUUCUUUAUUAGUGUAGGACAAACAAAACGCUUUGACGUACUUGAGAGUCAUGUACUUACAAUUAUAAUUUUAAAAAGGAUGUCUUAAUUACAACUCUGUAAGAGCAAAAAUCUAUAUAAUUAAUUUAAGGAGAUAAUAAGAUUUAUAAAGUGAUAAAGUCAUUUAAAUUUGUUACAUACAAAGUAGAGAAAUAUGUUAGAAAUUGUCAAAUUUAUUUAUGUUAUGUUUAUCUUUUUUUUCAUAUUUCUUGUUCCAACAAACGUAAAUGGCUAUAAUUGCAGAAAACAUUAUGAUUGUCUAAACAAGCGUUGUAUCGUGCCUCAAGAACCGAGGUGUGUCAAUGGCUAUUGUAAAUGUGUUUCACCAAUGCACAUAGGUCAUGUACCCAAAUAAUUUGUAUUUUUUUUUUUACAAAAAUAAUUUGUAUUUAAUGUCGGACCUAAAAGAGUAUAUUAAUGUCCUCCUAUAAUAUUCUAUGGGUUGUAUGUCAUUUAGUUAUUGUGCUGGUACAAAUAAUUUGUUUGUUU